CCUGUUUAUCAAAAACAUUUCUUACAGUAAUUAUUGUAAGUAACACCUGCUCCAUGAAUAUUUGAAUAGCCGCGGAAUUUUAACCGUGCUAAGGUAGCAUAAUCAUUAGCCUCUUAAUUAGAGGCUCGCAUGAAAGGUGAAACAAUUUAUAUACUUUAUUAAAUAAUUUUUUUAAAAUUAAAUUAAGAAUAAAAAUGUUCUUAUUCCCAAAAUAGACGAUAAGACCCUUUUGAACUUUACUUUAGUUUGGCUGGGGCAGCCCAAAAAUAAUAAUCUUUUUACCUUUUUUUACAUAGAUGAUCCAGCAGAGCUGAACUGCGAACAACGUUACCAUAGGGAUAACAGCGUAAUCUAUUUUUAGAGCUCUUAUUUAAAAAUAAUAUUGCGACCUCGAUGUUGAAUUAGUGGAACUUUACUGGUGCAGUAACUUUAAAAGUAGGUCUGUUCGACCUUUAAAUCACUACAUGA
rnacentral:rRNA from 1 species